rnacentral:rRNA from 1 species
AGUGAACGCUGGCGGUAGGCCUAACACAUGCAAGUCGAACGGCAGCACAGUAAGAGCUUGCUCUUACGGGUGGCGAGUGGCGGACGGGUGAGGAAUACAUCGGAAUCUACUUUUUCGUGGGGGAUAACGUAGGGAAACUUACGCUAAUACAGCAUACGACCUACGGGUGAAAGCAGGAGAUCUUCGGACCUUGCGCGAUUCAAUGAGCCGAUGUCGGAUUAGCUAGUUGGCGGGGUAAAGGCCCACCAAGGCGACGAUCCGUAGCUGGUCUGAGAGGAUGAUCAGCCACACUGGAACUGAGACACGGUCCAGACUCCUACGGGAGGCAGCAGUGGGGAAUAUUGGACAAUGGGCGCAAGCCUGAUCCAGCCAUACCGCGUGGGUGAAGAAGGCCUUCGGGUCGUAAAGCCCUUUUGUUGGGAAAGAAAAGCAGCAGGUUAAUACCUCGCUGUUCUGACGGUACCCAAAGAAUAAGCACCGGCUAACUUCGUG